GAUGAAGAACGUAGCGAAAUGCGAUACGUAAUGUGAAUUGCAGAAUUCAGUGAAUCAUCGAGUCUUUGAACGCACAUUGCGCCCCCUGGUAUUCCGGGGGGCAUGCCUGUCCGAGCGUCAUUGCUGCCCUCAAGCACGGCUUGUGUGUUGGGCCUCCGUCCUCCUCCCGGGGGACGGGCCCGAAAGGCAGCGGCGGCACCGCGUCCGGUCCUCGAGCGUAUGGGGCUUCGUCACCCGCUCUUGUAGGCCCGGCCGGCGCUUGCCGACACAUCAAUCUUUUUUCCAGGUUGACCUCGGAUCAGGUAGGGAUACCCGCUGAACUUAAGCAUCUCAAUAAGCGGAGGA
rnacentral:misc_RNA from 1 species